rnacentral:pre_miRNA from 1 species
AUGUAGGGCAAUCUGUCUUUAAGGAGGAUAAGUUACUCUAAAAGAAAUGAGUCCUAGGUAGUUUUUUCCUUCAAGUCAAGCAUCUUGC